rnacentral:rRNA from 1 species
GAGCACUCUGAUCCAGCCAUGCCGCGUGCAGGAAGACUGCCCUAUGGGUUGUAAACUGCUUUUAUAGAGGAAGAAACCUCCCUACGUGUAGGGAGCUGACGGUACUCUACGAAUAAGGAUCGGCUAACUCCGUGCCAGCAGCCGCGGUAAUACGGAGGAUCCAAGCGUUAUCCGGAAUCAUUGGGUUUAAAGGGUCCGUAGGCGGGCAGUUAAGUCAGUGGUGAAAGUCUUCCGCUCAACGGGAGAAUUGCCAUUGAUACUGAUUGUCUUGAGUCAUUAUGAAGUGGUUAGAAUGAGUAGUGUAGCGGUGAAAUGCAUAGAUAUUACUCAGAAUACCGAUNGCGAAGGCAGAUCACUAAUAAUGUACUGACGCUGAUGGACGAAAGCGUAGGUAGCGAACAGGAUUAGAUACCCUGGUAGUCUACGCCGUAAACGAUGGUUACUAGCUGUUUGGACGAUUGAGUCUGAGUGGCUAAGCGAAAGUGAUAAGUAACCCACCUGGGGAGUACGUUCGCAAGAAUGAAACUCAAA